rnacentral:lncRNA from 1 species
UUUACACUCAUGUAGGGUUAUAUUAAUCUUUUGCAGAAAUCUGAGUCCCAAAGCCUCUGCGUCAGAACAUCCUGGGACAGCCAAGAGUGACCUUUCUAUGAUUGAGUCUUUGAGGGCUCUGAAAAUGUAACCUGUGUUUGGGCCUGAAGGUCUUUGUUUUACUUCAAAUGGACUGUUGGAGAAGGAUGAGUAGAAAAAUUGGACCUGGGACUCUUGAGCUCUUACCUCUGCCUUGGGAACAGGGAUGGUGCAAGGUGCUGAGCCGGGGACCCAGGAGCCUGCAGGCCUUGCCCUGCCAAAGGUAAUUCACAUUUCUCUUAC